GUUUUGAGCGCCUGCUGUGUCUCAAGCCCUGUCCUAGGCACUGGAGAUGAGAUGAAGAAACGAUGAGUAGAGACCUUGCUUACGUUUAUCCUGCAACUCAUGGUGAGGCUUACUCUGCAGCUCCAGUGCUCGGCUUUUUACACAAAACGGGUAUGCAGGAGAUUAGAAGCCAGUGGGCACGAGCGUGGCUGCCACCAGGUGAAUGCCUGUGCCCUGGCGUCCUGGGGCCCAGAGGACCGGGAGCUUCCAUCAAGAGGCUGCCCCCCAGCACCAAGGCCAGAAAGUGGCCAGGGGAGGCUAAGUACAGGGAUUUCUCAGAAUGGUGGAAGGAGCUCAGCCCAGCCUUGCCCAAGAUGUAUUGCAGGGGAAUCUGGACAUUUUAGCCAUACCAAGAAUCAUUAGAAGAUGCAAGCUGGAAAAAAGAAGGUCCCAGUUUUGGUUUUGAACCCUUCAUGUUGCAGCAAAUGUGAAUCUCCUACAGAUGGGUUUGGGGACUUACCUGUUCAAAUAGCAGCCCGGUGUCCUCUGUGGGUGGGGGGAGGUUUGUCUGUCCUUUCAUUCUAGUAAAUCCACCAUCCUCUGCACGAGAGCCAGGAGAAUCCACAUCACUUCAAAAGAGCCCCCAAAUCCUUACGUACUACAGCCUCCUUUCGAAUGUUCCUGGUUGAGAGGGAGAUCAAUUGCAUUAUUUACAAGUCAAAAAAUUUUGUAUCAAACUUCCUAUGAGCUUGGGCACUGAUGGCCUAUGGAGGCCCACCCAGACGCAGCCCUGCCAUCAUGCUUUUUCAUUGUUUUGUGGAUGUACCCAGGGCUAUUUACACACUCUUUCAUUAAAAG
rnacentral:lncRNA from 1 species